CCUACGGGCGGCAGCAGUGGGGACUAUUGCACAAUGGGGGGAACCCUGAUGCAGCGACGCCGCGUGGGUGAAGGAGUAUUUCGGUAUGUAAAGCCCUAUCAGCAGGGAAGAACAAUGACGGUACCUGACUAAGAAGCACCGGCUAAAUACGUGCCAGCAGCCGCGGUAAUAGAUAUGGUGCAAGCGUUAUCCGGAUUAACUGGGUGUAAAGGGAGCGCAGGCGGCGCGUUAAGCCUGGUGUGAAAGUCCGCGGCCCAACCGCGGGACUGCAUUGGGAACUGGCGCGCUGGAGUGCCGGAGGGGUAGGCGGAAUUCCUAGUGUAGCGGUGAAAUGCGAAGAUAUUAGGAGGAACACCAGUGGCGAGGGCGGCCUACUGGACGGUGACUGACGCUGAGGCUCGAAAGCGUGGGGAGCAAACAGGAUUAGAUACCCCAGUAGUC
rnacentral:rRNA from 1 species